UUGCAUAUUAUUUGAAGUUGAUCUUGCUAGGAAAAUGUUUGUUCUGUUUUUUAGUAAGUAUUUUAUCAACCUGUGUGUUAUAGAGUGGUACCUAGCUUCCUACCUACUCCAUUAAACAACGUUUUUUAAAAAUAGUUUUUUCACUUGUUGUCACAUGCUGUUCUCUCCCCAAUGCGAACUUACAAGAUGACAAAAAAAGACUUACAACAAGUACAACUUCCGAACCAAAAAAUAUAAAUGAAGUCAAAGAACAAAUGAAGAAAUACUUGGAAGAAAAGUGCAGUGAUCCAUUCUACCGCAAUAUCCUGAGCGAUUUUCACGCAGAAUGGUGCGUUAAAGCUAAGGUGGCUGAAACCAUCUUGAAUAAUAAUUUACGUCAAGAAAAAAAACUUCGUAUAUUAUUCCAGUCCUUGAUGAAUAUAGGGGAGUGGAUCGAAUCGCUAUUUGACGAGUGUUGGCCACAUUGGACUGGUUUACGAAGCCCCAAAAAUUACACAAGAGAACAUUGGACGCUAUUAUUACUCAACAUUGAACAUUCAAAAAUAUUAAAUUUGAAGAUGCAAUUAACAAAACUCAAAAUAUCCGAUGACUUUUUCAUUAAAACUGUGGAAGAACUUCUUAAAUUUCGAAAUCGGGAUGCUCAUAAAAUAAUGUACGACAACGAGAAAGACGAAGCAGUAGAACUUUUCAAUGAACAAUACAAAGGCGAUAAUAAACCGCACGUAGUAGAAAUUCUAAUGUUGGGACUAAAUGAGCGAAUUUUAACCAUUAAAGAUGAAAUGGAAAUCAGUGAAUUACACCAUAAAGUAAACGCUAUCACCCGUGGUAUGUAAACUGAUCGUGAAUAUUUUCGAUCGGAGUGGAACUUGGAACAACGAAAGUCAUUUAGAGUUUUGCAACUUCCUAAGUGUAAAUCACCUGAGUAUAGCGAAGAUGAUAUAGAAGAAGUAUUGACACAGGUAGCCAAUGAAUACAGGUCGGAAGCAAAUGAUGAAAAUGAUGUUAUAACCCCGCUGGCAAUCAUUGUAACUACCAACGGAGCAUAUGCCCUGUUUCAAGAUUUCGAAGAGGCAUUCUUCAUUUGGAACAAACGAAACGAGAUGCAACUUGUCUGGGGUCAUGCUGAUGGUAUAAAGAUUAUUAAUGCAAGCAACCCGUUUAUAUAGUGAAAAACAAAUCGAAGGAUGUUUUAUCGUUGUAAAAGUUGAAAAUGAUUCACCUAAAGCAAUUCUUGCAACGUAUAAUACCUUUCGCUCAAGCAUAACGCAGACUCCAAUGGUCGGCCACUUCAAAUGUUUAUACAAGAAACGCCAGGAAGUCAAUCGAAGGAGGAUUCUCCUAAAAUAACAGUAUAUUUUAUUGCUUCAACCUUGAAAUAAGAGCUUUACCAAUUUACGAGAUAUGCGUAGGAAAACAAAAAUAGACAGAAGAAAAGAUAACGUAACCCUAACUUACAUUUCAAUGAAAGAAUCCCAUAUACUUGGUAUGCAACCCCCUGACAGUAUAGAACUCACGAUAAGUUCUGUCGAAUCAGCUAUAGUCGACAAGAAAGUAAAUCACUAGUCUUUCAUCACUCACUGCGCAUUUAAUUUGGGGGACUGGGUUAAUUUAUUUUUCAUUGUGAUUUUCAUUCGCGAUACUCUAAUGUACCACCUAAAGUUUUGUAAUAAACUUAGAAAAUUUAUAGAACAUCAAUUUUAAUGUAAGAAUUC